AGAGAUAAAGAAAAUACCAGGUCUUUUCUCAGAUGAGUUGGAUUGGAAAACAAUCACCGAGUUUCGUGCAUUACGUGCCAAAGUUUAUGCGUAUAAAAUAGAUGGAGCGGAAAAGAUCAAGGCAAAAGGCAUCCGGGGUCAUGUCGUUAAAAAUCAUAUGACAUUUAACGACCACAAGAAAUGUCUGUUUGGAGACAACGACUUGGAUGUGUAUAUAGAGAAUGUUUCCAGCCGUUCAUUCCACCACCAGCUCAAGACCAUCUCUGCAAAUAAACUUACAUUCAACAACUAUGGUGAUAAGAGAAUUAUAUCAGAAGACCGUAUUCACACAUUAGCCCAUUGGCAUUAUAAAAUAGAUGAAGUUUAAAAUAAAAUAUUGUUUAUUAAUUUUUUCUCUAUAUAAACUAUCUAAAAAAGGGGUGUAUGUUGAGUUUAAUGUAAAAUAUAACUUAUUGUAAAAUAUAUUAACAUUUAACAUUAUAACAUUUUUAAACUUACC